UAACACAUGCAAGUCGAACGGGAUCUUCGGAUCUAGUGGCGGACGGGUGAGUAACGCGUGGGAACGUACCCUUUGGUUCGGAAUAGCCCUGGGAAACUGGGAGUAAUACCGGAUACGGUCGAGAGACGAAAGAUUUAUCGCCGAAGGAUCGGCCCGCGUUGGAUUAGGUAGUUGGUGGGGUAAUGGCCUACCAGGCCGACGAUCCAUAGCUGGUUUGAGAGGAUGAUCAGCCACACUGGGACUGAGACACGGCCCAGACUCCUACGGGAGGCAGCAGUGGGGAAUCUUAGACAAUGGGGGAAACCCUGAUCUAGCCAUGCCGCGUGAGCGAUGAAGGCCUUAGGGUUGUAAAGCUCUUUCAGUGGGGAAGAUAAUGACGGUACCCACAGAAGAAGCCCCGGCUAACUCCGUGCCAGCAGCCGCGGUAAUACGGAGGGGGCUAGCGUUGUUCGGAAUUACUGGGCGUAAAGCGCACGUAGGCGGACCGGA
rnacentral:rRNA from 1 species